CUUUACCUAUGUCUUGUACAAUGUAAACUGCAUUUCUAGUGCUUAAAGUAAUGACUCUUAAAAUAAAAUGUUGACCCAGUAUAUCUAAAGAGCUUCAACCACCAAUUCCUGUAGAUAUUUUUUUUUCCAUGCACACUGGAAGUAAUUGUUGCAAUAACCAAUUUUAUAAACAAAGCAAGUCAUACUUCAUUUUUCCCUCCAAAGAGAAUACCUACAUUAGGAUUAUUAACUACAAAGCUUCAUUUUAAAAAUAUAUAUUUGAAAUAUGGGGGCACACUAAGGCAUCUGAAAUGUAAAUAUCAGUUGGCAAAGAGGGUAUUAAGAGACAUAGUCACAAGCCCUAACUGCAUCAGUGAAAUUGACAAGAAAGCAGGGAACCUACCAGCCUGAUUCACCCUGCUGUCACCCCAGGGCAGGUUGGAGGCUCCUUCUGGGUGCAGAGCUCCCUGUUGGGAAUGGGCAGCCGGGCUCCCGGUGGGGGGCGGAGAGCCUGGGGGGCAGCGGAGAGCCCAGGGGAGGAGGGCAACCAGGCUCGCAGUGGGGAGCUGUGCACGAACCUGAGAGCCUGAGCUCUCAGCCCCCCCACACUGCAUCUCUUAUGUUGGUGGAAGUGCUCCUGGUGAGGACGCACACCACUGACAGAAGAAGGGUAGUUUAGACAUGAACCACUGCAGUAAUUACUGGCUGUAAGUCGACCUAACAUAGGUCGACUUAAGUUUGUAGUGUAGACAGACCUUCAGCUUCCCAAAACUCUUGACACACAACAGUCUUUAACAGUGCAAAACAAGCCUAACCACAGUUAAGGAAAAAAAGGGAAGAAAACCAUUACAGAGGAAAUUUUAGGUAAACAGAUUAGUGGUUUUGGUAUUGAACCAGGGUACUGAGAUUAAACACCCCUAUUUUUACAAAAGUAGUAUCAGUUUUAAAUCUCUCAGUGUUGCCAGUUUUGUCACAAGUCUCAUGAUAAUUGUUCUCCUUAAAGCCCCAGCUCCUGGAGUCAAGUGGAUAUGUAAUUAUUUCAGCCUUCAUUCUUAAAGAAAAAAUGAUCUUUUUUCAUUUAAAGAGGAUGGAGGAAUUAUGAACAAAACCCAUUCACUUAUUUUGAAUUAUUCAAAGAUAUUCACAGAUGAGUCCAACUGACUUCAAUGGGAGUUGUGUGGAAAAAGGUAGGACAAAAUUAGGUCAUAAAGAAUAUGUGGAAUGGGGAUUACCACACAUUUAAUAUAGCAAUGCAAAUGUAUGUGGCAUUUUACAAAAGAAAGUAAGGCAUGUUCCUUGUCUCAAACAGAUUACAGUCUUGUUAUAAAUAUAAAGGGAAGAGUAAACACCUUUAAAAUCCCUCCUGGCCAGAGGAAAAACCCUUUCAUCUGUAAAGGGUUAAGAAACUAGGAUAACCUCGCUGGCACCUGACCAA